GCCCAGACUCCUACGGGAGGCAGCAGUCGGGAAUAUUGCGCAAUGGAGGAAACUCUGACGCAGUGACGCCGCGUAUAGGAAGAAGGUUUUCGGAUUGUAAACUAUUGUCGUUAGGGAAGAUAAAAGACUGUACCUAAGGAGGAAGCCCCGGCUAACUAUGUGCCAGCAGCCGCGGUAAUACGUAGGGGGCAAGCGUUAUCCGGAUUUACUGGGUGUAAAGGGGGCGCAGACGGCAGCGCAAGCCAGGAGUGAAAGCCCGGGGCCCAACCCCGGGACUGCUCUUGGAACUGCGCGGCUGGAGUGCAGGAGGGGCAGGCGGAAUUCCUGGUGUAGCGGUGAAAUGCGUAGAUAUUAGGAGGAACACCAGUGGCGAAGGCGGCUUGCUGGACUGUAACCGACGUUGAGGCUCGAAAGCGUGGGGAGCAAACAGGAUUAGAUACCCUGGUACUU
rnacentral:rRNA from 1 species